rnacentral:rRNA from 1 species
GACGAACGCUGGCGGCGUGCUUAACACAUGCAAGUCGAACGGAAAGGCCCUGCUUUUGCGGGGUGCUCGAGUGGCGAACGGGUGAGUAACACGCGAGUAACCUGCCCUUGACUUUGGGAUAACUUCAGGAAACUGGGGCUAAUACCGGAUAGGAGCUCCUGCUGCAUGGUGGGGGUUGGAAAGUUUCGGCGGUUGGGGAUGGACUCGCGGCUUAUCAGCUUGUUGGUGGGGUAGUGGCUUACCAAGGCUUUGACGGGUAGCCGGCCUGAGAGGGUUACCGGCGACCUUGGGACUGAGAGACGGACCAGACUCCUACGGGAGGCAGCGGGCGGGAGUAUUGCACAAUGGGCGGAAGCGUGAUGCAGCAACGCCGCGUGCGUGAUGACGGCCUUCGGGUUGUAAACCGCUUUCGCCUGUGACGAAGCGUGAGUGACGGUAACGGGUAAAGAAGCACCGGCUAACUACGUG